rnacentral:rRNA from 1 species
GCCUACGGGGCGCAGCAGUGGGGAAUAUUGCACAAUGGGGGAAACCCUGAUGCAGCGACGCCGCGUGAGUGAGGAAGUAUUUCGGUAUGUAAAGCUCUAUCAGCAGGGAAGAAAAUGACGGUACCUGACUAAGAAGCCCCGGCUAACUACGUGCCAGCAGCCGCGGUAAUACGUAGGGGGCAAGCGUUAUCCGGAUUUACUGGGUGUAAAGGGAGCGUAGACGGCGAAGAAGGUCUGAAGUGAAAGCCCGCGGCUCAACCGCGGAACUGCUUUGGAAACUUUUUUGCUGGAGUACCGGAGAGGUA